rnacentral:rRNA from 1 species
ACCGCUAAUACCGCAUAACCCGCCGGUGCCGCAUGGCACUGACGGAAAAGAUUUAUCGGUGUGAGAUGGACCCGCGUCUGAUUAGCCAGUUGGCAGGGUAACGGCCUACCAAAGCGACGAUCAGUAGCCGGCCUGAGAGGGUGAACGGUCACAUUGGGACUGAGACACGGCCCAAACUCCUACGGGAGGCAGCAGUGGGGAAUAUUGCACAAUGGGGGAAACCCUGAUGCAGCGACGCCGCGUGAGUGAAGAAGUAUUUCGGUAUGUAAAGCUCUAUCAGCAGGGAAGAAAAUGACGGUACCUGACCAAGAAGCCCCGGCUAACUACGUGCCAGCAGCCGCGGUAAUACGUAGGGGGCAAGCGUUAUCCGGAUUUACUGGGUGUAAAGGGAGCGUAGACGGCUGAGCAAGUCAGAAGUGAAAGCCCGGGGCUCAACCCCGGGACUGCUUUUGAAACUGCGGAGCUGGAGUGCAGGAGAGGUAAGCGGAAUUCCUGGUGUAGCGGUGAAAUGCGUAGAUAUCAGGAGGAACACCAGUGGCGAAGGCGGCUUACUGGACUGUAACUGACGUUGAGGCUCGAAAGCGUGGGGAGCAAACAGGAUUAGAUACCCUGGUAGUCCACGCCGUAAACGA